UACGUAGGGUGCAAGCGUUGUCCGGAAUUAUUGGGCGUAAAGAGCUCGUAGGCGGUUUGUUGCGUCGGCUGUGAAAUCCCGAGGCUCAACCUCGGGUCUGCAGUCGAUACGAGCAAACUAGAGUGUUGCAGGGGAGACUGGAAUUCCUGGUGUAGCGGUGAAAUGCGUAGAGAUCUGGAGGAACACCGAUGGCGAAGGCAGCCCCCUGGGCUAACACUGACGCUCAUGCACGAAAGCGUGGGGAGCAAACAGG
rnacentral:rRNA from 1 species